UUUCCCGCCUCUUCUCCUCAGGCCCGAAGCCCAAGGCCCCGUUGGCGUCGCCCUCCUUGCCUCCCUUUCCGCCCCGAGCCUUACCCCUCCUUCACAAUCGCAGUUAAGGAUGGCUGCUUAAUCCUUAUUAAGGAUUAAUCUUCAUCGAUCGCUGCUCCCUAGCGGACCCUGCUCGGGGCGGGGGCGCCCAAAUGGGGUUCUGGGGAGGGUGUGAUAGACUCCUCUGGUGGAGAAAAUGAGACUGGAAAAACGCUAAGUGCCCCUGCCUUAGAAGGUAUCGCCCCAUUCUGCUGGUAGUCAACUGCAGUGUCUACAGGCCAUGUCAAUUUCAGCAUCUCCAAGGGGACACCAGGAUAUUCUGCCUUAGUGCCCUGCGAACAGUACACAUUCACUACCACUGACUGACUGAUUGUUGCUUGCAAGAAAGACAAGAAUGAGGAGAACAGAGAAGAAGAGACAUGCUUUCUGGACAGCCAAGAUGGGACCCUGCCAGUUAGUGGGAUUGCAUCAGCGGCCUCUUCUGUCUAAAGGAUCCUGUGUGUUUCUCAAAGGGCAACUCGCUGUUUCCCAUCCACACACGGUGCGUGAUGAGAAAUACGUUAAUGACACAUCGAGUGGCGGCUCCGUGCACCGUGCAUGUCUAAUGCGCGAACGUGCAGUUGUCCAGACUUGA